rnacentral:rRNA from 1 species
UACGAAGGGGGCUAGCGUUGCUCGGAAUCACUGGGCGUAAAGGGCGCGUAGGCGGAUCUUUAAGUCGGGGGUGAAAGCCCAGGGCUCAACCCUGGAAUUGCCUUCGAUACUGAAGAUCUCGAGACCGGAAGAGGUUAGUGGAACUGCGAGUGUAGAGGUGAAAUUCGUAGAUAUUCGCAAGAACACCAGUGGCGAAGGCGACUUACUGGACAACUGUUGACGCUGAGGUGCGAAAGCGUGGGGAGCAAACAGG